rnacentral:snoRNA from 1 species
AAGACUAUACUUCACAGGAUCAUUUCUGUAGUCAGUCUUCAUUUAUUGCCAUCACAAGAUGGCCAUAACUCUACCCGCGAUGACGAGUUAUGUCGUUUUACCUGGAGCGUGAGGUUAUGAACAUUGUCGGUUCAGUUCACCAUUAUGGUGGGCUGGGGACAAUGUUUCUUCGAUGAUCGCUUGAUUAACGGGUAAAACGAUUUCAGAGUGGU